rnacentral:tRNA from 1 species
GGGGUUGUGGCUCAGUGGUAGAGCCCUCGCCUCUUACAUGUGAGACCCUGGGUUCAAUCCUCAGCACCA